GGCAAAACAAAUAUAAUCACAAGCGGAUUCCUGAGUCUAUAAAUAGCCAACUCAGAAGCUUUAACAAGCAAAGUAUGAGUGAGCUCAAACUUAGCUCGUUCAUUAAACAGGCCACUUCAACUUUGGCUUGUUCAUCUUCUUUGCAGUCAUUAUCAUCCUCAUGAUUCUUCGUUUAUUUUUUCUUGCCUGAGAAUGAAAUGUCUCAAGUUUGGAAGCAACGUAGGUUCUGGAACCUGAGUAUCAUCCCUUACCUUGCAGAUGGUCUAGAAUUACUUGUGUCUUACUUUUGUCUUUGUAAUUUUGUUCUCCUAUUCUUUUGUUUCUUGUUCAUUCUUGGC
rnacentral:misc_RNA from 1 species